rfam:Strongylocentrotus purpuratus Contig103349_fixed, whole genome shotgun sequence.
AGCCCGAUCAUUUUUGUGUUUAUGCAACUUUUGUAUUUUCACCGAUCAGAGUAGUUGCAUAGUCACAAAAGUGAUUGGGAG